AAACAAAGAAUGAGUAGUGAUAAACCAAAUAAAUCGAUCAAUAAGACAUAAAUGACCAAGUUGGCUGUUAAUUAAACAAACAUCAUCACGUACGUACUCCCCGUGAACUCGUAGUAGGUAUACCGGACGGAACAUGAGUCAGCCAUUCUAUUAGAUCUGUCCUCGGAAGAUGGAAUCCAUGCAAAAAAAAAAAAUUCACCGACCUGCACAGCCGGAGACGAUCAGCUCGAUAUAUCGAUCGUGUCUUCCUCCGUGUGUCUGCUCGCUACGUACGCCUCUGCCAUGAAAGAACCGACUGCCCGCAUGGCCGGCGUCGUCCACCGUUUCCUCCUCCUCCUCCUCUUCGUGGCGGCCGCCGUCAUGCCAGCAUCAACCAAUGCCGCAGCGUCGUCGCAGACCGACGCGCUGCUGGCAUGGAAGGCCAGCCUGACCGACGUGGCCGCGCUGUCCGCCUGGACGCGCGCCGCGCCGGUCUGCGGCUGGCGUGGCGUGGCCUGCGACGCCGCCGGCCUCGUCGCGAGGCUGCGGCUCCCGAGCUUGGGCCUCCGCGGCGGCCUCGAUGAGCUCGACUUCGCGGCGCUCCCGGCGCUCACCGAACUCGACCUCAACGGGAAUAACUUCACCGGCGCCAUCCCGGCCAGCAUCUCGCGGUUGGUAUCCCUCGCGUCGCUUGACCUCGGCAACAACGGGUUCGUCGGCUCCAUCCCGUCGCAGAUCGGCGACCUCUCCGGCCUCGUCGAGCUCCGCCUCUACAACAACAACUUCGUCGGCAACAUCCCGCACCAGCUCAGCUGGCUCCCCAAGAUUACCCACUUCGACCUAGGGAAUAAUUGGCUGACCAACCCGGAUUAUCGCAAGUUCUCGACGAUGCCCACCGUCAAGUUCCUGUCGCUCUUUGCCAACUCCCUCAACGGCAGCUUCCCGGAGUUCUUCCUCAGGAGCAGCAGCAUCACCUACCUCGACCUGUCGCUGAACAAUUUCUCUGGGUCAAUACCAGACUUGCUGCCAGAGAAGCUCCCGAAUCUGACGCACCUCAACUUGUCCAUCAAUGCGUUCUCCGGCCGAAUUCCGGACUCGCUCAGGAGGUUGACGAAGCUCUAGCAUCUGCGAAUUGAGUACAACAAUCCCACCGGUGGCAUCCCCAAGUUCCUCGGGUCGAUGGGGCAGUUGAGAGUUCUUGUACUUGGCAACAACCCGCUCGGCGGUCCGAUCCCGCCGGUUCUUGGCCAGCUCCAGAUGCUGGAGGAGCUCCAAGUAAUGGCCGCCGAGCUUGUUUCAACUCUGCCAUUGCAGUUGGCCGAUCUUAUGAAUCUCUCUGUCCUGAACCUUGCCUAUAACAAGCUCUCCGGUAACUUGCCGCUGGCAUUCGCCCGGCUGCAGGCAAUGAGGGUGUUCAGAAUCUCAUCCAACAAUCUCACGGGUGAUAUCCCGAGCUCGAAUUCUUCGGUGUGGACAGCAACAUGUUCACUGGAAAUAUCCCACCAGAGCUUGGUAAGGCAAGGAAACUGAAUAUGCUGUCCAUGUACGACAAUAGAUUAUCCGGCAGCAUUCCUCCGGCAUUGGGGAGCUUGACAAGCUUGAAGUAUCUUGAUCUGUCAGCGAAUAAUCUGACAGGAGGCAUUCCAUAUGAGUUGGGUCAUCUCAGCAAUUUGCAAUUCCUCAAUCUUAGCCAUAACUCCAUUUCGGGGCCAAUUAUGGGAAAUUUGGGAAACAAUUUCAAGCUGCAGGGAGUUGGUUCAUCAGGGAAUUCCUCCAAUUGCAGCUCUGGCUCAGCAUUCUGCAGGCUGCUCUCCCUCGAGAAUCUAGACCUUUCAAACAACAAGCUCACUGGUAAGCUGCCCGACUGCUGGUGGAACCUGCAGAAUCUGCAGUUCAUGGACCUCUCCCACAACGACUUCUCAGGUGAAAUCUCUGCACUCGGGACAAGCUACAAUUGUUCUCUUCAUUCGGUAUAUCUUGCUGGCAACGGUUUCACUGGAGUUUUUCCAUCAACUUUAGAGGGAUGUAAGACACUGGUCUCCUUAGAUUUUGGGAAUAACAAGUUCUUCGGUAAUAUUCCUCCUUGGAUUGGGAAAGGAUUUCCUUCGAUGAGGAUUCUUAUCCUUAAAUCAAACAACUUCACUGGUGAAAUUCCUUCGGAGUUGUCGCAGCUUUCUCAACUUCAACUACUAGACAUGAGCAACAAUGGUCUGACAGGAUCGAUUCCCAGAUCUUUUAGUAACCUCACUUCCAUGAAGAAUAAAAAACUUAAUAUCUCCUCAGGAAUUAUUACAAUGGCUUAGUUCCGAUGAAAGAAUUGAUACAAUCUGGAAGGGGCAGGAGCAAAUUUUUGAAAUAAAAAUUUCUGGAUUAAAUUUUUUUCAACUACUUACGGGUAUCGAUUUGUCAAGUAACUCAUUAUCACAAUGCAUCCCUGAUGAGUUAACGAACCUCCAAGGCCUUCAAUUUUUGAACUUGUCAAGAAACCAUCUGUCAUGCAGCAUACCUGGAAACAUUGGUAGUUUGAAAAAUCUCGAGUCCCUUGACCUCUCGUCAAAUGAACUUUCAGGAGCUAUUCCUCCAAGCCUUGCCGGUAUAUCUACCCUUAGCAUUUUGAAUCUCUCGAAUAAUAAUCUAUCGGGCAAGAUACCCUUUGGGAAUCAACUUCAAACCCUUACUGACCCAUCGAUAUACAACAAAAAUCCUAGGCUAUGUGGUUUUCCGUUGAACAUUUCGUGCACAAAUUCUUCACUUGCAUCUGAAGAGAGAUAUUGUAGAACAUGCGAGGACCAAUAUCUAUCCUACUUUGUGAUGUCUGGAGUGGUUUCCGGGCUUUGUCUGUGGUUUGGAAUGUUCUUUUCCAUCGAGACCUUAAGGUAUGUCAUUAUCUGCUUUGUUGAUGCCAUACAGUGUAAGGUUACGCAGAAGGUGUCCUAUAUUAAUCAAUUUCUUUCUAGAGGAAAUACGGCUUAGCAUCUGUGCAGCUGUGUUUCCGUAAUGUUACCUUAUGAUGAAGAAGUAUAUUUAGCUUUCUGUUGUUCUGUAAUUGGCAUGUUUCCUUUGUAUAUUAAGACUAAGAGGAAUUUAAAAUGCUACUUUAUCUUAUCCAAAAUCUUAUGGCUUUAUUCUGGAAAUACUCUAUCCGGCAGUAUUCCAGAAAAGAUAGGCAGUUUGAAACCCUUGUGGUGUUAUUCCUCCGAGCAUUUCAAAUUCGUUAUGCUUUGGUAUGUUAAGUAUCUGAAAUAGGGUGAGGUAACCACUGUAAGUCAACUUCAGUCAAUUGUGGAUCCAUCAGUCUAUAGCAACAAUCUGCUUCUUUGUGGCUUCCCUCCAUGCACCUACACUGGAUAAAAAAAUGAAGACCAUAAAGAAAUCUAUGCGCCAUUACUUUAUUCUGUAAUAUUAUUGGCCUUUUUUUUUGUGUGUUUUGGCUUUAGUUUGGAGCUCUGGUUUUACUUAAGCCACUGAGUUUUCAUUUUUCACUUUACCAGAUAGAAAGAAGUUGUGCAUAAGCAGUAGACAUUAAUGCACUCUUCAGUUGCAAAUCAGCAACCAAAGAAUCAUACAGUUUUCAGUUUAUAUUGGCCAUUUUUGAAAUAGUUAAUUCCCAUUCAAAAAUUAAGUAUAUUAGAUGCAUUUUUAUGGCAUGCAUGUGUUCACCUGAAUGAACAGCUGUGUUCUAGCUACUCUAGUGUACUAUACUCAUUCCUACUACUAUUCUUGUUGUGGUUGUCCGAUGUCUGCAGCCAGCAACCUCACCAAUUCGAAUUGAACUUUUCAUGCAUCAUGUUUUCUGGAAUACGCAAAAAAUUGUGCAUUUUUGUAUUAAAACUUUGAAAAAAGUGAAGUAUUACAAUAUUAUAAUUCUGAAAUGCUAUACUCAGGGAAAAAAAAAGAAAUACACUACGUCAUGUCCCACACCACCACCACACCCUAAGAAAACACAGCCACGACCAAGAACCUCCAAAAGGAUGCCUCUAAAAAGGUUAAGACAUUAAAAACACCACCAUCGCCCAUCCCAAAAGAUAUGGUUUUCGCCUAAAAGAUCUUAUUAAAGAGGGGAAGAGAGGCACCUCGACAACACCUUCAAGAGGGUUCCGGCGCCUAAAGGCGUUGCCGCUGUCAGCUUAAGAUUGGGCUGGCUUUCGCCUGGCGGAACCAAGGUAGCCGUACUGGAAGGUGCGGCUGGAUCACCUCCUUUUCAGGGAGAGCUAAUGCUUAUGCUUAUUGGGUAUUUUGGUUUGACACUGCUUCACGCCCAAAAAGAAGGCAGCUACGUCUGAGCUAAACUUGGAUAUGGAAGUCUUCUUUCGUUUAGGGUGAAGUAAGACCAACCUCAUGAGCUUAUUAUCCUAUGUCGGAACAAAUUAGUUAAACUUGCACCUUUCUUGUUGCUACCUCACCAAUCACCAAUCUUGCUGACACGUGACUGCAAUAGCACCAACGCCGCUUCGCCGGCUGUCCUCCAUACGGUUGUCAUGCUGCCGACACGACCACAACCAUAACCAUGACCAAUCUUGCGACCAACCACUGUUGCACUAUGGCGACCAAUUAUUAGCCUUCUUCCCAUGCCAUCACCUCCAUCAGCUCACCAAGAAAGGGAGGAGGUGUGACCGCCACCAACCGCUACAUGUUGGCAGCCUCGACCUUCCUUUCCUGUCGCCAUCUUCACCGUCUUGCCAUAUGGGACUCCCCAUGACCAGGUAAACCUAUCAAGAAGGUGAGGAGCUCCAUGGAGAUGUGAAGGCACCAUAGAUAGAGAGCGACCCACCAUCAUCGCUGCCCGUGAUGGCGGUGCUAUGUGGCCAAAUCCGGGCUCGGGGCCCCAGAUCCAGCUUCUGCUCCACCCAACACCAGCUACGCCGCCACACGGGUUGGCAAACAGCAAACCUCCGUCGUUGCCAUGCACGCUGGUGCUCCGGUCGAGUCGUCCUCAAGGCGUGUUAACCCUCCGCCUGGCAACCCCUGUGCAUCUCCAUGCGCCCAAGGAGAGGCCCCAUCGUCGCCACCACUGGCCAGCCGAGCGGCCGUUCGCGAGGAGAGGCAAGGGCCGCCACCGUCACCUGCGUAGGCUUCCACCAUCGUCGCCCGUGCCGACCUCCUCGACACCAGCUGUCGCGGCAUCCCACUGUCGCUAGCCAUCAUGGCCUUCCACGCAGGAACCCGCGUGGGACUCCCGCCGUUGAUGCUCCAUCGUGCCAGCAACUCCAACCAGAUCUGGUUCAGAGGCGGCGGAUCCACCUGACGGAAGACUAGAUCCGGCUACGGCAGCAUUGAAUCUGUGGCCUACACGCUGCGUCAUCUUCCCAGCGAUCCAUGCGCCAAGCCACCUUCGUCACGCUGAAGGCGAGGCGCCGCCAGGGUUCGGCCCCGCUGCCGCCAUCCCGACUUGCCGCACGGUUCUCUGACAGCGGCGAGGAGAGGGAGAGGGGAGAGCGGCGGCGGCGGGUGGUAGGAUUCGCCACCCAGGCGUGGACGACACGGAGGGUGCUGCUUGGAUUUGAGUUUUUUUUUUUUCAUACAUCAUGUUGAACGAAAGAGCAGAAGCAUUGCCACUCAUUUACAGCAUCACAUACAUUUCCGUCAUCCACUGAAUAUUCUUCUAAUUCACAUUCAUAGAAGGAAAAGGGACUGCUGCAGUGAACAGUUCUUUCUAAGAUAUGUUGAUUUUCUCUCAGAGAAUUAUAUGGCAAAGUCAUAAAUUUCUCCAUUUCUCUUCUCUGUCUUACAUUUACAAGUUUAUUGUUUAGCCUAUGGGGGAAAAUAAUAAUAUUACCACAGGGAUAGUAACAACGAGCAAUACAAUUGUACAAAGUUGAUGAAAGACAGGUUUUGUGAUUCAGUGUACAGAAUAAUUUCUAUAUAUUUAUCAGCAGUUAAUGUAAUAUACUAUCCUAAGCUUACCCUUGGCAUUAAUAUAAUCUGAGGAUGCAUCUUACAAAUCACUAACUGCGAAGUUCCCUUCCUCCCCUCCUGGUGCUUUACAUCUCUGCACAGAUAUAUAUUCACUUCUGGUAGUCUGUUAGCUUGCUAAUUGUGAUCAGUUUGAAUGGUUCAGAGAGGUAGGCUUGAGUAUGCGCAGAAAUCUCCUGCGCUACAGAUCUCAUGGAAGGCCUGGAUUCAGGGUUCACCCUUGUGCAACCAAGCGCGAUUCUCACGAUGAACACGACCUCUUCUGCGAGCUGCCCUGUUGGAGCAUCCAGCCGCUGGUCUAGUAUGUCCUUGAGCAGUAGAUCAUCUUCUUCUGAUGAUGAGAUGGCUGGCAGGGAUGUUAAGAGGUCACCUGGGUGCUUUCCCAUCAUGACCUCUAGCGCAACCACGCCAAAGCUAUACACA